AAGUCGUAACAAGGUUUCCGUAGGUGAACCUGCGGAAGGAUCAUUACCGAGAUAGGGGCUCCGGCCCCGAACCUCUCACCCAUGUUUACCUCCUCUUGUUGCUUUGGCGGGCCUGCGUGCAGGCUAACCCGGUACCCCCGGCGGCGGGAGCGCCCGCCAACGGCCCUAUUGAAAUCUUUUAGCGGUGACGUCUGAGCCACAACACAAACAAACUAAAA
rnacentral:misc_RNA from 1 species